rnacentral:rRNA from 1 species
GUAGGUGGCAAGCGUUGUCCGGAAUUAUUGGGCGUAAAGCGCGCGCAGGCGGUUCUUUAAGUCUGAUGUGAAAGCCCACGGCUCAACCGUGGAGGGUCAUUGGAAACUGGAGAACUUGAGUACAGAAGAGGAAAGCGGAAUUCCACGUGUAGCGGUGAAAUGCGUAGAGAUGUGGAGGAACACCAGUGGCGAAGGCGGCUUUCUGGUCUGUAACUGACGCUGAGGCGCGAAAGCGUGGGGGAGCAAACAGGAUUAGAUACCCUGGUAGUCCACGCCGUAAACGAUGAGUGCUAAGUGUUAGGGGGUUUCCGCCCCUUAGUGCUGCAGCUAACGCAUUAAGCACUCCGCCUGGGAUACGGCCGCAAGGCUG